AACGAACGCUGGCGGCAUGCCUAACACAUGCAAGUCGAACGAGACCUUCGGGUCUAGUGUCGCACGGUUUCGUAACGCGUGGUAACCUGCCCUUAUGUUCGGAAUAACUCCCCGAAAUGGGUUCUAAUACCGGUUCAUGUCUUCGGACCAAAGAUUUAUCGCCUUUGUAUGGGCCCGCGUUGGAUUAGCUAGUUGGUAGGGUAAAAGCCUACCAAGGCUACUAUCCAUAGCUGGUCUGAGAGGAUGAUCAGCCACACUGGGACUGAGACACGGCCCAGACUACUACGGGAGGCAGCAGUGGGGAAUAUUGGAAAAUGGGCGAAAGCCUGAUCCAGCAAUGCCGCGUGAGUGAUGAAGGCCUUAGGGUUGUAAAGCUCUAUUAAACGGGAUGAUAAUGACAGUAACGGGAGAAUAAGCACCGGCUAACUCCGUG
rnacentral:rRNA from 1 species